rnacentral:rRNA from 1 species
GAUGAACGCUGGCGGCGUGCCUAAUACAUGCAAGUCGAACGAGGUGCUUUGUAGCAAUACGAAAGUAUCCUAGUGGCGAACGGGUGAGUAACGCGUUGGUGACCUGCCCAAAGUGUGGGAUAACAGUCCGAAAGGAUUGCUAAUACCGCAUGUGGUCCUCGGAUUUAGAAACCGAUGACUAAAGCCGUAAGGCGCUUUGGGAGGGACCUGCGUCCCAUCAGCUAGUUGGUGAGGUAACGGCUCACCAAGGCGACGACGGGUA